rnacentral:rRNA from 1 species
UUAGCGGCGGACGGGUGAGUAACACGUGGGUAACCUGGCCUGUAAGACUGGGAUAACUCCGGGAAACCGGGGCUAAUACCGGAUGGUUGUUUGAACCGCAUGGUUCAAACAUAAAAGGUGGCUUCGGCUACCACUUACAGAUGGACCCGCGGCGCAUUAGCUAGUUGGUGAGGUAACGGCUCACCAAGGCAACGAUGCGUAGCCGACCUGAGAGGGUGAUCGGCCACACUGGGACUGAGACACGGCCCAGACUCCUACGGGAGGCAGCAGUAGGGAAUCUUCUUUAAU